ensembl:lncRNA
UAUAUAUAUAUAUAUAUAUAUAUAUAUAUAUAACCCUACAGCUUUACUGCAAAUUUUGCUGUUUGACCAAUUAAGCUAAGAAACUACAGGUGAAUAAGGUAAUUUAAGUCAAACAAUUGAUAUCACAAUUUUUUUAAUAAAUUUCAUGAAACUAAGGAGUCAUCUUAUUAAAUAUGACAAAACAAAAAAAAUCUAGUUUUUGAAUGAUGCUAGAAUUAAAAUUGUGUAGGCAGUCUUCAGAGAAGACUUUUACAGAACAGUUGUUGGAAUUUAUUUUUUAAUUAUUAUUAUUGUUGUUGUUGUUGUUUACAUAACAAAAUACUACGUGUUGUUACCAAAAUAAAUAUAUGCCAUUUUUAGUACAGAAUCUAAUGUGAAUCCAGAAAUAAUCAACAAGUUGAGAAAUUCCUCUCUAAUAUCUUUCUAAAUAGGGACAGGAAUGAGCAUGAACAUGCAGGUUGAUAAACCAUAAACUGUGAUUUUUGAGUUUGAACAUAGAAAAAUUUGCUAAUUUUGAGAAAAUACUAUAAAUGUGAAUCCACACUAGUAAAUGUGGUUUAUAAAGUAAAGUUGACGUGCAUGUCACAUGACACAUGAUUCAACAUAUAUCUGGAAAACAAAGCCGUUUCUCAAAAUGCAUACUUAUACGAUCUUGCAUCCGAGGUUCAAAUCCAAUACUCAAGAAUGCAAGUAUCGGGGACACAUAAAUUGACCCAGAUCUGUUAGUGAACUAUGAAACAGUGUGCUGCACCCUCUUAACAGAGCAUGAUCAGUUUGCAGUAGAAGCUUGAGAGAGUUCUUGGAAGCGACCUUGGGUUUACAGCCCAUUAAAGCCCGGCUCUGCUCUGCCAUUCCACUCGCCAACAGGACCAACUGGACAAAUUUGCAAGAGUAACUGCAAUCCAUUACAUUGGUUUUGUUUUCCAAACCCAAUUUCCAGUCCCCACAUUAAAGUUAGCCAUAUGAAUCUAGUAGUCAUGUAUUCAUGUGCACAGUACAGAGUCACUGUUGCCCAGCACGGAAAAUACAUUAUAGAACAAACUGCAAAUUUUAGUAGCAUAAAAUUUUGAAGACAUAUCAAUAUUAGUCAGAUGGAUGAAUUGUUUGUUGUAUUUUGUGUAUUUGCUCCUAGAGUCGGGGUGAUGCUACUGAUGAGAUACUGCCAUCAACACUGCAAAAUAUUGGAAUGUGUUGUGAUCUUUUUUUUUUCCUUCCUAGUUUACUGCUAGUAUACAGACAUGCAUCAGCAUAACCUAGAAAACUGAUGUCUGAAAAAUAGAUUUAUUUUCUAUAAAAUAGCAGCAAACUUCUGAUGUGUUCAAUAUGGACAGCUUUUUAAAACAUCCUGUCAAAAUCGGCACAGGAAGAGAAAUCUUCUCGGCUGUAGGUAUGUCACUUUUUGAAAAGUUGGAAAAAUAAAAUGUGAAUCCUUUUGGGAUUUUCAUCAGUUGCUGAAUAUUCUGAAGAGAAAGCAACACAUGACAUGAUGAAAAGAUCCAAACAUGCAUACAAUGGUGAGACAAUACACUCACUGCCAUCAUUUAUUGCAAAAAUCUGUUUCAAUUAUAAUUUAUCACAUCAUCUCUUUAUCAAUGUGCCAACAUUUCGUUCUCUGGCUAGUUUCUUGGUUUUUUCCAAAAAACUUUUGUUGCAAAUCCUUUGCUUUCAACCCCAAGUGUCAGCCAAAACAUUUCUGUAUGCCAUACACAGUAGUAUAUUGUUUUGUCUGGUUUGAUGUGUGCUUUUUUGGUCACCACUGUGUCUGGCUGCAGUUGAUUGGAUAAUUGGCAGCUUAUUUUGGCUCGACUACCAUCAUUGGCUGAUGAAAGCAGGAGGAUCUUGGCAGCACUCUUUAUUACACAACCUAGUUCCAACAUGGUCUUAUGAUUGAAAAUUUAUAACACUGUAUAUGGGCCAACUCAUAUGAAAAGUUAAGGUGCAUGGUUAAAGUUAGAUCAAGGGGCAGGGUUACUUCAUUUUUAUGACUUCAUAAUAAAAAAUCCAUCUAAAUUGCUCUCAGUCAUUAGAAAUUAUCCAUGAUUUCAAGUUGACUGGUGAAACCUGUCCCAGAAUACAAGCUCUGACUUUAUCAUACACUACAUCCUGGCUAGCUGUCCAUCAUUGUUUUGCCCACUAGUGUUUUCUCCAUGAAUCAGAUUGGGUUUAUUUUCCUGGCUCAGGUUUUCAGCAGACACAUUCACUAUGUUAAAACAGUUCCAGUUUGGUAUGGAGAACUUUAUUGUUUGAUGUUUAUUUCAUGCACCACCUCUCAAUUGUCGUGUCAGCAUAAAGAAAUUCAGAACUGACAGUCUCAGACUGGUUCCAUAUGCAACAAUCGACAUGAACAGAAUAAAAUUAAGUUCCUUUUGAAACAGAUAUUUUUUGUUUCAAUACUUUAUUCCUUUUUGAAAUCACUCCACAGCCCUGUUUCUUCCUGGUCACUCAAAAUGAUGUAAGAACAAUAAAAGUGAACUGAGGUGUAAGAAUGCUCAUAUGUUAAUGCUUAUAUUCAGGUCAGAAAUCAUCAUCGUUGUCGUCAUCGGCAGUUACUCGAGUCAAGUAUGACUGUCUUCCAUGGGGUUAGAAGUUGGUGGAUCUGCAGAUGGCAGGAGAGGCCAAUCUGUAACCUGAAUAUUGGAUUCCUUGUGGAAAUCUAUAACAUUGACCAUACUAAUUACUGUUUUGUGAAGGUAAUCAUCAGCAUUAGUGUUAUGAUUCAUUUUAGCUGGUUAGCUUUUUCCUAAUAGCUAGUUGUCUGCUGACUAGCUUGUUGCUGAGCUACUCACUCUUGUCCACUGUUGUUGCUGUACUGCAAUUUAAGUCCAAAAUUUUGCAUUUUCACUAGAGUAGAACAGUAGCAGUAGUCAAUCAGGCCAGUAACUGUAAAAGUAUGGUUAAAGUAGCUUACGUGCUCUUUAUGGCGGAUGGAAAUGGUUGGACACUGCUCCACUCCACUAUAAAGGAGCCGCCACUGCAAACACCACCUGGCAGGCCACCAUGCACCGUAAAGUUCCCUUUCAAAGGGAACUUUGAUGUUGCGUUUAGCAUAAUACUAUGGGAGCGCCUCUCGCACGCAACUGGCAUCUGAAGCUUGUGUAAAAUCAUGCCUAUUUAUAGGCCUGCCAUGAUCAGGUGACGUGGCAAUUAAGCGCGUUGUGUGAUACAAAUAUGACACCUGUGAACCGUGCCAUCAGCCUUUAUUAUCUUCAGCGAAAGACUGCAUGUCAGUUGUUUGUAUAAAGAAACAAAAAGAUGUUUCAUUUCCUCGCUAUCUUUUCUCAAAAUCUCAGAACUUUUCUAUUCCUUUAAAAAAAAAAAGAGAAGAAAAAAAAUCUGAGUGAGAGAUUUCAGAAAGUGUGUUACGACUUGCUCCCGUUUCAUUAUGGAGAAUAGUGCACACUUUGUGGGUGACGUGUCGAGGGUUGGAGCAUGCAAUGGCAGCCUCGAGAGGCUGCGCAUGGUAAUGCCUACCUUAAGCAGAUCCGCUCACGACUCGCGCUCUUCUUGGAAGGUGAAGUGAGUUGGGUUUCAGAGCCUCGCGGAUCUGGGCCGGCCGCUGCCGAGGCAGCUAGCCCUCUCAGGUUCGGGGGAUCUCUUAUGGAUCCGGAAGAGAGGCUGGAGACGAGCGCUGCUCUAUCUCUUGCUCUGUCUUCCGGGUUCGGCUCUGCGCUGGAUUUUGGACCUCGCGUCCCGACGACUCCUUCCACUAUGGAAAGCCAAAAGGGGAAGAAAAACACACACACACACACACACACACACACACACACACACACACACACACACAAAUAAUAGUAAUAAUUCCUCUCUGACUCUGAGGAGCCAGAAGGAUGUGCUAAAAACAGAGCAGCAUGAGCUGCUUGAAGUGAUUACUAAGGCUGGAUAAGCCUUUGUCUCCUCAGUGAAACUAAAUCCCUCACACUGCAGAAACUCCCCUUUCCUCCAGAAGUGCAUGACAAAAUAUCAGGCUUCUGGGGGAAAACCAUGCAUAAAGCCAUAUUUAUAACCCGACGAUGUUGGAUUAUUCGGCCAUUGUGGGGAAUGAAUGGCAUGGCUAUUUAGCUAUGCUGAAGGUGGAGGAGGCACUUGCGAGCUACCUCUCUCCAUCAACGGAAGGUAAUUAGGGGGAAAGCCACCGGUGGGCAAGGCUUAUGAGGUAGUAGUCUUGUUUGUGGGUCACUGCAGACAAUGACAGUGUUGCAGGCCUACCAAGCAGACCUGCUGAGUGAGCUUGACAUAUUGCGGCAUUCAGCCAGUUCCUUCCCUGUUGUCUCGAGUUCACGUGGAGCCCAGGCCAGCACUAGUGCAAAGGAUACCCAGAAGGCGAGUAUGGCAGCCCGCCAACCCCCGCAGACAGCCAGGGGAACCAGGCGGCCAUAGUCGCGGCCUGAUCUGAGAAUGGUCAUAAAGGCCUAGCAGGCAAAGAAGAGCCGUCCUGAGGGGCCGUGGAGGGAAGUAUCAUGACAUGAGGGACAUGAGGUUGUUAGGGCAGUUAGCCCCCAGUGCUACUGUAGGGCCUCCCUAGCCAAGUCGGUCCCAAGUUUCCAGUGUUCUCUGGUCACCGAGCUGUCACAGGGCAACGAAAAUCUGAUGCUUUCCCUCCAAUAGAAUGUGGAAUAGUUAACGUCACUAAAAGGCCAUCUGGCAGUAUGGAAACUACUGUCAAAUGUGUCUCCAUUGGUUCUGUCUACCGUAGAAAAGGGUUACUGGGUCCAGUUUAUAGCUCAACCCCCCCGGUUCAGAGGUGUGCUCACCACAGUAGUCAGCACAGACCAGAGCCCGACGUUAGAUCAUUAGUAAGAUCCCUCUUGGACAAAGGAGCCAUAGAACAUGUACCCUGCUCCCUGAGGGAGGGAGGUUUUUACAGCUGUUAUUUCCUGGUCUGUAAAAAAUAGGAGUAUGUGGCCAAUUUUAGAUCUGCGUCAUCUGAACUGUACUCUUCGGACAUACAGGUUCAAGAUGCUGACGCCCAAACUUAUCAUUCCACAGAUUCAGUUUGAGGACUGGUUUGGGACGAUAGAUCUAAAAGGUGCAUAUUUCCACAUAGAAAUAUCGCUAGCUUUAUCCCCUCGAACCUUCACAAAGUGCAUGGAUGUCACUCCUGCUCCACUGUAACUCCAGGGCAUCUGUGUAUUAAACUACCUGGAUGACUGGUUAAUUCUACCACAAUCCAGGGAACUGGCGGUUCAACAUCGAGAUGUUGUUCUCGCCCACAUCAAGAUCUUGGGGCUCAGGUUAAAACUCAGAAAAGUAUGCUUUCCCCAGUGCAGUGGACAACUUUUCUAGGGGUUAUAAGGAUUCUAGUGAUGAGGAUGUUUCUAUCCCCAACAUGCGUAGGGUCAAUCCUAUCAACACUGAGCAAGAUAAACCUGGAUCUUGGGAGACUAUUGGCUCUUAUGGGCCUAUUGCACAGGAAACCGUUCAGUGGUGGCUGAGAAGUUGUGGGUUUCGUCCAAGUACAAAACCUCUGAGAAUAAUCAGUCUCACGUGGUGAUGCCUACGUGCUCUGAGAAUGGGUGUCCCCUGUUUCUAUCCUUGGGUCACACUCUAGGGGUGUCUCCUUAGGGCAAGAUGGUAAUGACAGACACCUCCCUCACGGGCUGGAGUGCAGUCUUAGACAGCUGUAGGAGAUCUACAACCUCUCUCUGUUGCCCCUUCCUGCCUUGACUUUGCCUCUGGAUUAGCCAAGGCCUUCCUGUACCCUAGGCCGGAUUAUAUUCCUAAAGUGCCUACAUCGGCUGCCCACCCUGUGGUGUUGCAGGCUUUCUGCUCUCCUCCACACUGGAAUAAGAGAGAAUGCACCUGCUGUGUCCGGCCAGUGGCGUAAGUUGGAGCAGCUUUGGCGGCGACAGUAGAGGUGAUGCUGUGUCAAAGCAGCGCCUUUCUAAUUGGAUAGUGGAAGCAAUCUCUAUUGCUUAUGAGGAACGCGGUCUCGCUACGCCUCUGGGCAUAAGGGCUCAUUCCACUAGGGCGGUGGCCUCCGCGAAGGCUUUGUCCAAAGGGGUAUCCUUACAGGAUGUGUGCGCUGCUGAAGGGUGGUCUACGCCACACACAUUCAUUUGUUAUUACAGGCUGGAUAUUCCACCCCGGGCUCAAGUGUCUUGCAGUGACCCUCAGGCUUGAGUCUUUUUGAACAGGCCGUACCCUCGGUAUGAUGGAGUGGGUAUUCUCAUUCCCAUAGUGUUCUGCUAAACACAACGUCGAAGUUCCCUUUGAAAGGGAACGUCUGGGUUUCACAUGUAACCCUGUUCCCUGAGAAGGGAACGAGAUGUUGCAUAGCUUUGUCAUACCAGGGCAGGCCUGUGAAUUGUGUCUUCGCUUCAGAUAAUAGAGGCUGAUGGUGUGGUUCACAGGUGCCAUAUUUAUAUCACGCGGCACACUUAAUUGCUACGUCACCUGAUCAUGGCAGGCCUAUAAAUAGGCAUGAUUUUACACAAGCUGCAGAUGCUGGUCGUGUGCGAGAGGCGCUCCCAUAGUGUUAUGCUAAACGCAUCGUCUCGUUCCCUUCUCAGGGAAUAGGGUUACAAGCGUAACCCAAAUGUUUUCUUGAAUCAACUCACAGUUCUGAACCCUUAAAGUGAGUGAGGGUUUAUAACAUGGAAAAAUUGCUUUCAUAUACUGAAACACACAGAAAUUUGCCCUGAGAUACACCAAUGCUGAUAUAAAAAAACAGAGUCUCAGGAGACUUUCCUAAAAGACAUGAGUUAAUUGUCAGGUGUCAGCUGACCCUGUAUUUAUGUGUGCUACUCCCUGACCUGGUUAUUGGCUUUAUGCUCAACCUCAGCAUUUCCAGAGCUGACAGAUCUGCCAGGCAGCAUUGUCCCCCAUAGACACACUCAUUUUUGCUGAUUCAUAUUUCAUUGAUCUUGCACACUUAAUGAUAUGCUCAUUGACUCAUAGUAUAAUGUUUAGAUUUGAAUAAUAACAUUAAUAUUCUUGCCAUUCUAACAGGUGCUGCCAAGAUGACAGACGGUACCUAUAUGUUAACUCCUUUUACACCUGCUGAUGACCGGUUGGCUCCACAGGUUUAAGCAAACAAAUUUUGUGCACCUCAUUGUGUUAAGUAGUGUGAAAGGCUUAGUUUUCUUUUGACCCUACUAUGUCAAAAGAAUCAAAUAUUAAUUUGAUUUGGGAUAUAUUAAUUGUAAUUUCUUGAAUUUCAGAUAACCUCAUUUACCUGAAUGUACAGUCACCAUGCACUUUAAUAGGAACACCUGUACACCUGCACAUUUAUGCAGUUAUCCAGUCAGCCAGUCAUGUGGCAGCAGGUUCAUGUGCCAGUGUCAUGUGACAAGAGCUUCAGUUAAUGUUCACAUGAAACAUCAGAAUGAAGAAAAAAAAAAUGAUGUUUGUGAUUUUGAUCAUGGCAUUAUUGUUGCUACCAGAUGGGCUGGUUUGAGUAUUUCACAUACUGCUGAUCUCCUGGGAAUUCACACACAACAGCCUCAUGAGUUUACACUGAAUGGUUGUAAAAAUUAAAAAAAAUUAAAAAAAAAACAUUAAGUGAGUGGCAGUUCUGUAGGUGGAAAUGCCUUGUUGAUGAGCAAGAUUAGAGGAGAAUGACCAGAAUAAACUGACAGGAAGUCUAUAGUAACUGAAAUAAUCACUCUUUAUAACAAUUAUGAGCAGAAAAAAACGUAUCAGAACACACAACACAUCAAACCUUUAGGUGGAGUGGCUAUACCAGCAGAAGACCACAUCAGGUUCCACUUCUGUCAGUCAGGAUUAUGAAUCUGAGGCUAUCAUGGGUGGACUUGCCCAAACUGGACGAUUGAGGAUUAGAAAAAAAAAUCCCAGUCUUGAGUGUAUAUCAAGAAAAAAAUCAAGAGGAUGCAAGUGGAUGCCGACCACCCUGCAACUCUGAAAAACAAAUCUCCAUGCUAAUAGGCAACCAAUAUGCAGUGAUAGGUAUUCGGUUUGUUUUUGUUGAUAAACUUGUGGUCACAUCCAUUAAAGUACAUAGAUUAUGGAGUAACUAAUCUGAAAUGUAAGUAAAAGUCAAAUAAAAACUCUUGAGACAGUUGAAACAAAUGAUUUGCAUACAGAAAGCAAUUAUACGACACUUUAAAAUUAUGCUUAAAUUUUUAUACUAGUUGGUGCAAAUUCCUAAGAAUAUACAAUGAGAUUAUUCUAGUUAAAAACCCUCUUGGAAUCCACCUUGAAUUAAAUGGUGGGUACACAUUCUCUACAAUAAAUCUGCCCUAGAAGACUGAUGAUAUAAUAGGGAACCAUGAUGAACUUUAAAAUAAUGUGAUAGUAUUUCUCUAACUGAAAAACAAGUGAAAAGGAAGAGUAUGUGGCAUCCGUGUGUGUGUGCAUGUACAGGGCAUUGACUGGGAGCAGGCUGUUUGUUCCAUCUGAAUCACAAAACAACAAGGAACCUGACAGAAAUCAAGUAUUCUGUGUCUGCAGUUCUACUGCUUCCCUAGGAGACCCGAUAGCUAGCGGAAGUGCUGCAGGCAGAUUUCCAGGUAUUAAUAAAGAUGUGUACAGUUCCUGCUGUGGCAUGAGUAUGCUUGGGGAAAAAAGGCAAAUAACAACAAUGAUUUUGCAAGCAAACCUCACAAGAAGAGCUUAAAGGAUCGGUUUUAUAGACCGUGUGCGUUUGCAAAGUGAGUUGAGAAAUAGCUAGCUUGCAAGUAAUCAAAUAAAUAUGAAAAUACUUGUACUCUGACUGUGCUAGCAUACUAAUAUAUGACAGUGUAUGGAGGCAGAAGCUUGGGGCUUCACUUUUGUGUGGUUGUCAAAAUGAAUGAAGUUAAUCCUAUGAGCAACUUGAGAUGCCGCAGUUGCUACAGUCGAUAUUAAACUUAUAAGGAGAGACAUAAUUUCAGGCUACUACUGAGUAGGAAUAUAUGCAUUCAUUCAUUCAUCUUCAGUAACCUGUGAAUCUGGAGACCUUCCCAGGAACACUGGGUGCAUGGUAUAAGUAGAAACAUGUUGGUUUAAAACAUUAAUAACAUUUGAAAAAAACAUCAAUACCUGACUUUAUUAAUACUAGUUUGCAAUGUUGAAAAGUGAUGUCUUGACCAGAUUCCAUCACACAAACAUUUUUGUUAAGCCAAAUCAGGGCUAAGUCUGCCUAGUCUGUGGGAUCAGCAAUAUCUUCAAGUUGUAGACUUUCUGCCUAAGGUUCUUAUGAUAUAUUUAUCAGAUUAGGGCAGAUAUAAAGUAUAUUUAAUGUUUCUAGUACAACAUUGCCCAUCAGUGCUGUCUGUCAUUCAGAGAACAGCAGAGAAGGUCUCGUGAUUGUAAAUUCAUAACAAUUCACAUCAAUCAAACAGUAGUUUGAGAAAAAAAAGUCAUCAUUCAGAGCAGUGGUGCCUGGUGGUUUUUUAAAAUAGGGGAAGGGAACUGCCUGUCAGCAGACAAAGCCAGCAGUACAUGUGCUUUUUCACAGCAAUUUUACUGUACCAAGAAAGAUCAAAGGAUCUGCUUUUUGCUUUCUGACCUCAACUAAAUCAACUUUGGAUGUUUAUCUGCCCUCUAACAUUAGCAGUGUCUGCCAUGUCAUGCUAAAAAGCAGGUAGCUAAAUUCCCUGAAGAGCUAGUGACAGUUAUGAGGUACUGUCCCUUUGAGAGGUCUCCCAAUCAUUGUGUGUAGAAGCCAGGCAUCCGAGCAGGAUAAUCCUGCAUUCAUGAACAGCGUACUGUCCAAUUAAUCUUGAGAUUUGUUUUUUUCUUAUACAAAAAACAUCCAUGAUACAAUUGUUGACUCCCAGCAUAAACAGCACCCUCAGGUGGACUGGAGGAACAAUUUUAUACUAUCUAUAAAAGUGCAUUUAUGAUCACUGUUGCCAGCAUGAUUUUGUCGCUAGAUUUUUAGAUACCUUUUGAAACUUUCAGUCAGGUUCACUCAACUCUCCACCAGUAUGUAAAUCCUAAAUUGCACAAGCUGAUGUUUCUAAUGACGAAAUCACUGAUUAACAUUGUAAUGACCAGUCACUGAUAAGCUUGUUUCACAAUGACCAAUCACUGAUCAACUUUUUUCACAAUGACCAAUCACAGAUCAUCAAGUAAUAGAAGAUGCCCAUCCUGAGGUAAUCAUUGAAUGUGCUAGCUCCAGCUCAGAAGCAGCCUCUACAAAGAUUCCAGAUGACAUCAACGCCUGCAAAGACUUUGGAUGAUACCAACACUCUACAAUAGAUAGCAAUGGGAUAGCAGUGGGCCUGAACUGUUCUGCUCUCCGGGCCGGCCUGGACUGUCCUGGUGACCUGCUUCUGGUGUUCUCGUCGCUUGGAGGCCAGUCACUGUUGCUGAGGAUGGCCCCAUAUGGACAGCCUAUCGACACUUGGAAGCCGUGGAGAUGGCAUUGGACUGCAACUGAUGUGAGCAGUUUUGGUGUGGUGUGUUUUUGGGCCCAGGUCUCAAAAGUAAAUGUAAAACUAACUCUCUAAAAUAUGUACUGUGUAAUGACCAGAAUUUCUAAAUGUGAGUAUAAUGUGUGCUGCUAUAUUGCUUAUUUGAUUGUAAGACCUACAAUCUGAAAAGUUUUGUCAUUUCAAGCCUGUCAUGUCAGACCAAAUCAGCAACUCCAUUCCCCAGAAUGCACCACCAACUACAAACAUGGUAGAAGAGGACUACACUUCCCAUACACAUACAUGUUCACCUUCUCCGAAGUUCUAAUCAGAGACGCCUGUUCCCAUUUAUACUCACAAUCACACUACACAUAAAAGAGACUGUUUGAACACUCUUUUUUUAAUUUAUUUAUUUAUUUAUUUAUUUAUUUAUUUAUUUAUUUUACUUUUACGUUUAUGAAUUAGACUCUUCGCCCUGCCCUGUUUAUGCUGUUUGCCUGAUUGCCUGACCUCUACCUGUUCAUGAUUAUUGUCUUCUGCCUUAUCCUUUGGACUUGUUGUUAUUGUUGUUGUUGUUGUUGUUGUUGUUGUAUUAAACUGCCAUACCUGUAUUUGCUUCUGUCUGUGCCUCCAUUACGUGACAAAACCUCAUACCAGGCUACUGGUGCUGUGUUUAUAUAUUCUUCCUCCCUGAUGUAAGAUGUUAAUUCUUACCCAACACAAAUGGGAUUAAUCAGGAUGAAUACAUUGGAGUAGGGUCAUGCAGUUAUUCCAAAUCCAAACUCACAUUUAAAUUUUUAAAGAGGACACUUUAAAUAUUUAAAUAAAUAAAUAAAUAAAAAUAAAAUAAAAUAAAAUAAACUUGGAUUCAUCCUAUACAGGGUGAACAUAAAAUCCCACUAAAAUGACAGAAUUACUGGUAAUCUGUGGGUGUGUGAGAUGUGUCUUGUGAGUGACAGGUUUUGUUUUUUUAAAUAAUAGCCUUAUCAAAUAUAGCAGUUAAUGAUAUACUGGCUGCCUGGCUUCAUAUUUCUGUCUGUACUCCAUCUAAAAUGUAUUUUAUAACCCAGACACAUUGGUAUAAAUUAAUUACAAGCACAUGGAAAUUGCUUUUAAAUUGAGUUUUAGCUGCUUCAAUAUGAGCCCUUGCAUUUCCAUUCGUUUGAACAUUGCAAUCAUAGAACACAAAUGUUAAAAUAGACUGAGUGAUUGAGGGCUGCUGAAAUCCACAGCUAAGACAAAAAAAAAGCAUAUUUACAAAAAGAAAGUCUGACACAUUAUAAAUUCUUCAUUCUGCAAAAAAAUAUAAAAUAUCUGUUUGUGAUCUUCAAUAAAGGUUACACAGUGACAUGAGCCUUAUUACUGGCAUGAAAAAUCCAUGAAAAUCUGUUUUUUCUUUAGACAUGUGAAAGUAGAAUAGUUUUGUAAAACAUAAACAUAUAAAGGUUAUUUCUCGUAUUUUUCCAACAGCAAAUACAGAUUUUUUGUAAUAUAUAUCUACAAUGGUGUUUGCAAGUUUGUGAACCCUGUAAACUUUUUUACAUUUCUACAUAAAUAUGAACUAAAACAUCAUCAGACUUUCACAAAAGUCCUAAAAGUAGAGAAGUAGAACCCAAUUAAACAAUGAGUCAAAAAUACUAUACUUGUACAUUUAUUUAUUGAGGAAAAUGGUCUAGUAUUACAUAUCUGUGAGUGGCAAAAGUAUGUGACCCUUUGCUUUCAGUAUCUGGAGUGACCCCCUUGUGCAGCAAUAACUGCAACUAAACGUUUCCAGUAACCGUUGAUCAGUCCUGCACAUCGGCUUGGAGGAGUUUUAGCCCAUUCCUCUGUACAGAACAACUUAAACUCUGGGAUGUUGAUGGGUUUCCUCACACGAAUGAAUCGUUUGCCUUGGGUCCUUCCACAACAUUUCUAUUGGAUUAAGGUCAAGACUUUGACUUGGCCAUUGCAAAACAUUAAUGUUAUUAUUUUUUAACGAUUCUUUGGUAGAAUGACUUGUGUGCUUAGGUUCAUUGUCUUGUCGCAUGACCCACUUUCUCUUGAGAUUCAGUUCACAGACUGAUGUUCUGACCUUUUCCUCUAAAAUUUGCUGGUAUACUUCAGAAUUUAUUUUUCUUUCAAUGAUGCCAAGCCGUCCAGGACCAUAUACAGCAAAACAGGCCCAAAACAUGAUACUACCACCACCAUGUUUCACAUAUGGGAUAAGGUUCUUAUGUUGGAAUGCAGUGUUUUCCUUUCUCCAAACUUAAUGCUUCUCAUUUACAACAAAAAGUUAUAUUUUGGUUUCAUCCAUUUACACACAACAUUUUUCCAGAAGCCUUCUGGCUUGUCUAUGUGAUCUUUAGCAAACUGCAGAGGGGAAGCAAUUAUCUUUUUGGAGAGCAGUGGCUUUCUCCUUGCACCCCUGCCAUGCACACCAUUGUUGUUCAGUGUUUUCCUAACGGUGGACUCAUGAACAUUAACAUGUGAGAGAGGUCUUUAGUUGUUUAGAAGUUACCAUGGGUUCCUUUCUGACCUCACAGACAGUUACACAUCUUGCUCUUGGAGUGAUCUUUGUUUACCCUCCUGGAGAGGUUAACAAUGGUCUUGAAUUUCCUCAAUUUGUACACAAUCUGUCUGACUGUGGAUUGUUGGGGUCCAAACGGAAAAAGACUUUUCCUCUCUUAUGUUUAAAAAAAAAAAAAGAAAGAAAAAUCUCUUUACUUUUCUGUUACUUUAAAAAAGAGAAAAGUAUGAGUGAGAGUGAAUUCUAGAAGUGUGUUAUGCCUUGCUCCCAUUUCAUCAUGGGGACAGACGGACACACUUUCUGUGUGAAGUGUCUAGGGCUGGACCACGCCAGGGCAGCCUCAAGAGGUCUGACUGUGACCACUGUGAAUGCUUGCAGCUCGCUCUCUUCAUGGCCGAAGGGAGUUGUGUUUCAGAGUCUUACGUAACUGGGCCUGGGGAGCUCAUAUGGAUCUGGAAGAGGAGCCGGAGACAAACGUUGCUCUAUCUCUUGCUCUGUGUUCCUGGUCCAGCUCUCAGCUGGAUUUUGGAGCUUGUGUCACGACUCCUCCUUGCACUAUGGAAAGCCAAAAAUAAAAAAUUCCUCUCUGAGUCUGAUGAGCCAGAAGGGUGUGCCAAAAAUGGAGAGCAGCUCUCAACCAUAUAAAAAGCUGCUUGAAGUGAUUAUUGAUACUUUACUUUAGUGAAAAUAAUUCUCCCUCACACUGCAGAAAACUCCCCUUUUUUUCCCAGAAGUGCAUGAC